CAGGAACCGCAGUUAUAUUCAGACCACUGGAAUAAAGAAAAAAAAAUAAACAAGAAUAAAUACAAUAAUUGGCAUGUGGUCCAAUUUCGAAGAUCGCUAAUCAGGAAAAAAAAGUACAAAAUUUUUUUAGUAAAUUUUAAACAAUUGGAAUAAUGACAACAGGAGAGAAUGAAAGAAGUACCGUCAACAGCAAUACGUAUCGUACGUGGUUUCAUUGCUGAUGGAUCUGACACACUAGAAUAUUGUCUAGUUGUUUUAUGUCGACAUUGGUGACUAAAUGAAAAAGACAUUUUCUUGGUCUUAGAGUACCUGCAGCAGGAAUUAGAAAAAUUUUUGAUACUCUGGAAAAUGCCAUCAUAAAUCCAUAAUAAUGCCGGUGGUACUGCUGCAAAUUUUUAUUUUUCAUCUUAAUGCUGUGGCUACUUAUGAUUUAGAAAAAUAAAUACCCAUUAUUUUUAAAAUUGAUGAGUGGGAUAAUAGAAGAAGAGUACAGCGAUUUAUUAUUUGGAAUCCUGUCAGCCGAUGCUAGAGUAUUAAACUAUUGAGAUAAUUGCUUCAAAAAUAAAAUACAGAUUUUUAUGAGAUAACGACUGGAAUCAUUUUACAAUAUAUAUUUUAUAAAUUUAAAAUUAAUUUGAAUACUUGAGUUGAAUAUU